CGGAUGCAGAACCUCAGCCCUCUUCUGGAGCAGAGACGUCCAUGGGUCUAGUAUUUGGGAAACACAACUUUGGAACACUCCAGACUCUGGGAUGAAGUCCUUGCUCCUUAGAGAAGUGUUUGAGGGCCUUGGGCUUGCAUGUGCUCACCUCCCCAGGACAUCACCUCUUUGCAUCCGACAGAUGUGGAGCUUUUCGGACACCACCCACAAGAGAGAGCGCCCGUGCCCACAUUGGGGAGGAGGGGCAGAGGGAAAGAGAGAGAGAAUCCCAAGCAAGAUUCCCCGAUGAACGCGGAGCCGGAUGUGGAGUUCAGUCCCACGACCCUGAGAUCAUGCCCCAAGCUGAAAUCAAGAGCCAGAGGCUUAACCAACUGAGCCACCCGGAGGCCCACUGUAAUUUAUUUUUUACUUUGCUAUAUAGCAUUCCAUGGUAUGAAUGGAGUAUUAUUUAUUU
rnacentral:lncRNA from 1 species